rnacentral:lncRNA from 1 species
UGUAAGGUUCGAUCAGCAACUUCGAUUAGCCACCAUUUCUUCUCUAUUACGAUUGAAUUGUUUUUUCGGAAUGCCAUUAUGGUCGUAGGAAACGCGAUCCCAAGCGAAACCGGAUCGUUUUCGUACCGCGAAUUGGAUCGGACGAACCAAAACGUCCCCGAUACUCUGUUUUGGAAGUCCCCAAUAUCGGGUACGGUUUUGUAGAAGUCCCCAAUAUCCGGGUACGUUUGGGAAACGUCCCCGAGCCGUCCCCUACGCGUUUCCGUCCCCGAGCCGUCCCCGGGACGGGUACUUGAUGUAAGAUGCCGUCCCCGUGCUUCAUAGGUUCCACUUUAUUCGUGAAUAUAUUGAAAGAGAUCAAGUUAAAGUAGAGCAUGUUUCGGGAGAUCAACAAAAGGCAGAUAUAUUAACUAAAGCUCUUGCAAGGAUAAAGUUUAAAGAGAUGCAAGACAUGCUUGGAGUUGAAGACCUCCUGGUUGCGAGUCGGCAAUUAGGGAGGUGAAUGUUGAUGGCAAAAUUACCAACUCAUCACAAGUCGGUGGUAAUUAAAGAUAUCAAUUAGAAUUGGAUUAUUAUGCUUGGAAAAGAAGAUUUCUAGUCCUAUAAAUGUAAUUAGUUUUUGAGGAAGUUUUCUAAUAAUAAAAAUGUGAGCGUAUCAUAGUUUU